rnacentral:rRNA from 1 species
UACGAAGGGGGCUAGCGUUGCUCGGAAUCACUGGGCGUAAAGCGCACGUAGGCGGAUCUUUAAGUCAGGGGUGAAAUCCCAAGGCUCAACCUUGGAACUGCCUUUGAUACUGGGGAUCUCGAGUCCGGAAGAGGUUGGUGGAACUGCGAGCGUAGAGGUGAAAUUCGUAGAUAUUCGCAAGAACACCAGUGGCGAAGGCGGCUAUCUGGACGGUAACUGACGCUGAGACGCGAAAGCGUGGGGAGCAAACAGG